rnacentral:lncRNA from 1 species
GGGUAAUGUAAAAGCAUAUGUAAAAUAGAAAGGAGGAAAGAUGCUGGUUUACUCUAGGCUUUGUCAAUUCUGGACAUGCCCUCGAAGUCAAUUUCCAUGGAUUUCAUUUCAGGUUUCCCAAAGAUUGAUGGGUUCAAGUCCAUUAAGGUGGUAGCGGAGUGAUUCUCAAAAUAUUCAGUUUUCAUUCCAGUUCCGCAUGAGUGCUUGGUGGACGUUGCUACCGAAUUAUUUUUCAAAAAUGUUGUGAAAUACUUUUGAUUGCCAGAAGAUAUUGUGAGUAAUCAGGAUUCACGACUUACAAGCAAAUUCUGGACCUGUUUUGUUUAACAUGAUAUAGACUAAAAUAAAGUUCUCAAUAGUAAAUUAUGUUAAUAUUAAAUUUUCAAUCAUGCUAAGAAUCAAGAAUCACCAAAUAAUAAGUUAAUAGACCAAAUUCAUAUCUGCGGAAGCCAUUGUUGAUAUGGAUUAUAGUUGUAAUAGUAGACAAGAUCUUUCCCUCCUUACUCCUCACAAAAGUAUUAGCUAUCAAUGGGGCAAGCUAAUGAAAAUACAUGGAGAGGAGAGGGGAUCUAGCCUUUAUAUAUAGGAAAUAAUUGAGCCGUCCCAUUACGACUAGAAUUCUAAUUAGGGUUUAUUUCCGACCCACAUACUUUAAAUUACCACAUCAAAUUAAUUACAACCCGUAAGGUGUAAAAGGCCCAAUUGAUCACUUAAUAAAUUUGGCCCAAACACAAAUAUUAUUAUGAACCAUAUAUCUAACCCGUAAAAUUUGCAAUCCAAUGUGAAGCCCACAUAUGGAAUAAUUAAUUAUUCCAACAUUCUCCCACUUGGGCAAACAUUUGAUUGUCAUAACAAAGUUUCAACACUCGGGUUAGACUACAUAGGUGGCCACAAAAGUAUAGCUCCAAUGAUAACACCUUACGUAACAUGAUCCGGUCCAACAAGAAUAUUAACACCGAACAUGGAAGUCAUUACACCAAUUUAAGAGAUGUAAGACCAUUCCACAGCUACAAAUGUCAACAUCCUUAUCGACAUGGAUCCCGUUCCUCCAACCAAUGUGGUAGUAUGUGGUAUGAACUUAGCACCAAAUGUGAUCAGAAUGUGCUAACUCAUAUUGGUCCUCAUAAUGCUUCGAAUCAAAAUGAAGCCACAUGUCUCCAAAAGAGACUCAUUUUUAUGUCUUUCAAGAUAUUAAUAAUAUAAAAAGACAUAAGUCAAAUGCAUACUUAAAAAUAGUUCAUGAAUAGGGGAAAAAUUAUUUUAUUAUCAGAAGGGGCUGUACCCGAAAACAUAUGGGUUGCCUACGUACCCCGUAAAGGGAUCAAGCCCAAAACGUAGUUCUUUACAUAAAUAACUCCCACUAACCAAAAAUAUCAAAUGUUUCCACAAUACCCAUAUUAGUAACAUGUGUCUUAAAAACUUUUGGAGCAAGUCCCUUAGUCAAGGGAUCUGCAACCAUCGCCUCUGUAUUGAUAUGCUCUAUUUUCGUCUGCCCUUCUUUGACUCUGUCUCUAACAACCAAAUAUUUGAUGUCAAUAUGUUUUGAUCCAUCAGAACUUUUAUUAUUCUUUGAAAAGAAUACUGCUGCACUGUUAUCACAGUAGAUAGUGAUCGGUCUUGAUAUGGAAUCAACAACUUUCAAGCCAGAGAUAAAAUUUCUUAGCCAAGCGGCUUGGACUGUAGCCCCAUAACAUGCCACAAAUUCAGCUUGCAUAGUAGAAGAUGCCACUAAAGUCUGUUUAACACUUUUCCAAGAAAUGGCACCACUAGCUAAUGUAAAAAUGUAACCUGAGGUUGAUUUCAAAUCAUCUUGACAUCCAGCAAAAUCAAAAUCUGAAUAUCCUACCACCUCAAGAUGAUUUGUACGCUUGAAUGUAAGCAUAUAACUUUCAGUUUUCUUCAAAUAUCUCAUAACUUUCUUAGCUGCUUUCCAAUGCUUUUGUCCUGGAUUAGACUGAAAUCUGCUAAGGACAUUUACUGCGUAGGCUAUAUCCGGUCUAGUGCAAACUUGAGCAUACAUCAAGCUCCCUACAGCACUAGCAUAUGAGAUCAUCUUCAUAGACUCCCUUUCCAACUCAUUCCUUGGACAUUGAGUUUUGUUAAACUUAUCUCCUUUUAUGAUAGGUACAUCACCAGGUGCACAAUUCUGCAUAUUAAACCUUUUUAGAACACGUCGUAUAUAAGUUUUCUGAGAAAGUCCCAAUAAACCACGAUUUCUAUCACGAUGUAUUUCAAUGCCAAGUACAUAGGAAGUUUCUCCAAGAUCUUUCAUCUCAAAAUUAGCAGACAACAUUUUCUUUGUCUCAUGAAGCAGCCCUAAGUUACUGUUAGCAAGUAGAAUGUCAUCAACAUACAAUACAAGGAAAAUAAAAUUUCUCCCAUUGGUUUUAAGAUAAAUGCAUUGAUCAAUAGUAUUUUCGACAAAACCAAGAGAUGUCACAACCUCAUCAAACUUGAAAUACCACUAUCGAGAUGCUUGUUUGAGACCAUAUAAGGAUUUGUUUAACUUACACACCAAGUUUUCUUUUCCUUUUACAACAAAACUUUCAGGUUGUUUCAUAUAAACCAUUUCAGAAAGAUCUCCAUUCAAAAAUGUUGUCUUAACAUCCAUUUGAUGAAGCUCCAAAUUGUAGUGUGCCACAAGAGCCAUGAUAAUUCGAAAAGAAUCUUUCGACGAAACAGGGGAGAAGGUUUCAACAUAAUCAAUGCCCUCUCGUUGAGUGAAACAUUUUGCAACCAAUCUUGCUUUCUUUCGUUCAAUAUUUCCUUUUGAAUAUAAUUUACUUUUGAAAAUCCACUUGUUAUCUACAGCCUUAGCAUCUGGAGGAAGUUCAACAAGAACCCAAACUUUAUUCCUUUCCAUGGAAUUCAUUUCAUCUUCCAUGGCAGCUUUCCAAUUAUCUGCAUCACGACUUGUCAAUGCUUGGUUAUAAGUUACAAGAUCAACAAUAUACCCAAUAUUAAAAUCGCUCUCCAAUAAAUAUGUAACAUAAUCACUGGGCAAAGCAGAUCUUCUUUCCCUUUGUGAUCUCCUAACUUGUGGCUCAGGAACCAAUUAAUCGUUGUUUGAGGAAUUGGAGAUUCGUCCUGGUUCCUUGGUUCUUCAUUAACAACUUCAAUUGAUUGGGAAUCAACUCUUUCCUGUAUGACAGGAACUGGAACAACAACUUGAUUAGGUUCAACAAGAAUUUCUGUCAACGUGGAACUCCCACUAUCUCCAAAAUCGUUCUCCAGAAACUUAGCAGUAAUGGACUCCACAAUUCUAGUGCCGCGAUUUGGACAGUAAAACUUAUAUCCCUUUGAUCUAUCCGGAUACCCAAUAAAGUAGCCAGGAGUUGAUUUAGGGUCUAAUUUCUUUUCAAAUGGAUUAUAAAUCCUAACCUCAGCUGGAUAUCCCCAAACUUUAAAGUGGGCCAUACUUGGCUUACGUCCUAUCCAUAAUUCAAAAGGUGUCUUUGUAACAGCUUUACUUGGAACUCUGUUCAAAAUAUACAUAGUUGUUUUCAAGGCUUCACCCCACAAAUAUUCAGGCAAAUUUGUUCUACUCAUCAUACUUCUAACAAUAUCUUUUAGAGUUCGAUUACGUCUUUCAGAAACACCAUUCUGCUCAGGUGUCCCUGACAUAGUGUAUUGGGGCACUAUUCCUCACUCUUGUAAAAAUUUUGCAAAAUCACCCAUAUUUUGACCAAACUCGUCAUAUUUCCCAUAGUACUCACCACCUCGGUCAGAUCUUACAAAUUUAAUAUUUUUCCCACAUUGUUUCUCUACUUCCAGUUUGAAAACUUUGAAUUUCUCAAGUUCAUGUGAUUUGUCAUUAAUUAAAUAAACAUAUCCAUAUCGUGAGAAAUCAUCAAUGAAAUUUAUGAAAUAUUUAUUCCCACAUAUAGUGGAAAGAAAAGGUCCACUGAUAUCAGUGGGAAUUAAGUCCAAAAUUCCAUUACUCCUAGUCGAACCCUUCCUCGUAGACUUAGUUAACUUUCCUCUUAUACAAUCUAUACAAAUGUCAAAAUUGGAGAAGUUUAAGGAAGGAAGCAUCUCAUCUUUUACUAAUCUUUCCAUUCUAUCCUUAGAAAUAUGACCCAAUCCCUUAUGCCACAACAUAGAGGAUGAUUCACAAAUUAAAGCCCUUUUCUUUGAUACAUUUGUAACACACGAGACAUCACCAAAAGAAGUCAAAGACAAUUUAUAUAAACCAUCACAUAAAAUACCAUUUCCAAUCAAACGAGAAUCAUUAAAUAACUUAACCAUUCCAUUACCAAAAUUAAAUGUAAAACCACAAGCAUCAAGUUUUGGUAUAGAAAUUAAAUUCCGUCUCAUAUGCGGUACAUAAACUGUAUUUUCCAAAACAAGAUAAAAACCAGACUUUAAAGUUAACUUCACUACUCCUAUGAAUUCAACCUUCACUUGGAAUCCAUUUGCAACGCUCAAGUUUACUUCAUUCUCACUUGGCCUCCGUUUGCUAAUGAACCCCUGCAAGGAAUUCACAAUAUGAAUACUAGCUCCUGAGUCUAACCACCAAGAAUUCAAAGGUACAUCUACUAAAGAAGACUCAAAACAAAUUAAGGCCAAGGGAAUACCUGAAGAACUCUUCUUCUUUUUCAACCAAGUCUUGAACUUAAAACAGUCUUUCUGCCAGUGACCCUUCUUUUUAUAGAACUUGCAUUGAUCAUUUUUUUUUAUAACUGCUUUGGGACCACUAAGAUUUUUAUUCUGCUGACUUCGGUGGGACUUAUUACCCUUACGAAACUUAGGUUUAUGAUUAUGAGAAGGCCCCUUAUUCUGUGAUGGCUGAAAAACUAAUUGCACAGUUUCAACAGUUUCACGGCGUAUCCUAUACUUUUCUUGGGCACACGCUGCUAUGAGGUCAUUCAAAUUCCACUUAUCCCGCUGAGCAUUAUAAGCAACCUUAAGCUGAUUAAACUUGCUAGGAAGGUUAUUCAAAACAUGAUAGACCAGGAAAGGCUCCGCAAUGGGAAUGUCAAGAGCCUUUAGCUUAGAUGAUAUAUUUAUCAUUUUCAUGACAUGUUCCCUAACACCACUUGUAUCAUCAUAUUUCAUGCUCAUAAAUUUAUCCAUCAGAUCUCCAUUUCGGCUUUAUCAGACUCAAUAAAUUUUUCUCCUAUGGCAUCUAUAAAACUUUGGCAUUUUCAUUAUCAGGGAUAGCACCUAGAAUGGAAUCAGAUAUCGAUCGCUUAAUGAUUUUCAAACAGAGUUUGUUAGCCCUUUCCCACUUUUCAUGCUCGACUACAUAUUCAACGGUACUCUUAUCUGUGGGUUUUUCAAGCUUUUUCUCCAUUGCAAAAUCCAAGUCCAAAAGACCAAGUGCUAUUUCUACGUCUCGUUUCCAUCUCACAUAGUUAUUCCCGGUCAAAGUUUCAAUAGCAGACAAUUGAUUCGAAAGAGAUGACGCAUUAUAAACUGUGGAAACAUAAAAUAUCACACUCUUAAUAUCAUCCAAACUUAAUGCAUGCAAUCAAAUGGAUGGUGAAAUAUCCAACUAAUUAAUAUGGGCUAUUAAUUAGAUAAUCCGUAAUUUAAAUCGAAAUAUAUGAAUUUUAUUAUGGUAAAAGCCUAGGUGCAUCAUCAUAAAGUCACCUUUGGGUCGACAAUACAACAUACUAUAAGGUACUCUUAAAAACACAUCAUGCAGCCAGUUAACAAAAUUACAAUGGUUUUUGAAAUUCCAACAUCUUUGGGCAGAAGGAAAUUUCUAAACCAAAAUAAGCCGUUAACUUUCUCAUGCCAUUUUCCAAAAAUAUUACAUAUAAUAACACAUUUGGGCAAGAUAUUAUAUGCAAUAAAUCAAAAAUUAUUGGGCAAAAUACUUAUAUAUAUAUAUAUAUAUAUAUAUAUAUAUAUAUAUAUUAUUUUUUUUAUUGUAGAGAAAAUUGAAUAAAUAAUAAUGAGUGUGCCAUUUUGACAGUUACCACCCAUUUUUAUUUCAAAAUAUUUCUCUUUGUGGGGACAAAUAAGGGUCGUCUCAAAACUCAUAAAAAUUUAAUCACAAAACAAUAAUCAUGUAACAAAUCAUAAUCGUUAAUCGAUAAACGGUAAAAUUUAUAUGUGAUUUAGAGACGAAAUUGACAACAAGAUUUCAAAAAUGAAAUCUAAAUGCAUAAAUAAUGGCAAUGUUUAAAUACAUAUACAAUUUAAUGAAAUAUAUAAAAGUUGUCAGUUAAAUUAUUAUUAUUAUUAUUAUUAUUAUUAUUAUUAUUAUUAUUAUCUGAUAUAUUUUAAUCAGAUUAAUAAACAUUUAAUUUGAUCAGAACUAAAAACAUAGAUCAAAUCCAUCAAAAAUAUAAUUCUAAAAUCCUUUUUGGAAUUCAAAAUUUGAAAGCAGGAUCCAAAACUAAAGUCACGUCCUUACUUUUUUUUUUUUUUUUUUUAAUUACAAUGUGACCCCAAUUUGUACCAUCUCACAAAUUGCAAUACAAGUCCCAUCCCCAAAUGUAUAUUACACACGGCUGAAAACAAAAUCCCUUAAAUCCUCCACACUUGAUCUCUCAGCCGGCGCUAUGGUCCGACCCGAUCCCUCAAUAUAAGUCAAGGACCCGAUUUUGUACAACCCAAAAGUGGCCGUUUGGUUAAGCGAGUUAUCAAUUGGAUGGGCUUCUGAUUUCUUGGAUUAUAAUGGGUUUUGUCAAGAAAUUAACCGGUGAAGGCACUCGAGAAAAACGGCACAUAAUUGCGUUUUGUUAUGAAGGUAACAAAAAGGUCGAGAAAUAAGGAACUCAGCCCACAAGAAUCGGAACCUAUAAACUCUAUUGUCAAUGCAAGGUACAGUGAAAAAUACAAACUAUCUGGUUGAUUUUGAUGUGAGUUUCAUGCCACUUCAUCAAGCCCAUGCAGUAAUAUUUAUUUUUGAAUUAGCUACUAUGCAAAAUUUUAAUGUCAUUGUAGCUAUCAGAAGCUUGGCUGUAGAAACUCUCCAGAUGUCAACUUUCACAGCUACUAACUUGAUAUUGGCAUAGGUUUUUUUUUUGAAAUUAUAGUUUUAUAAUUAUCAUAGGGUUAGAUAUAGAAUUUCCCUCUUCUCAGUUAUUGUUGAAAAUUGAAGCAAGAAUAUAUAUAAUAUAUCCCAUAUCUUAUCUGGGAACUUUGGCCAGAAUUUGGGAGAAGACAAGACCAAGCAUUCAUGUUGGUGUUUCAAGAACUUGCUGCGGCGGUGGGGGAAAGACUUUGGCGGCAGGAAUAUGGUGGUUUACAGAUUGAAUUCUUUGCAAAUUUGGGGAAGGAGACGGACACUUUUCACUUUGCAUGUUUCUGGGUUUUUUUUUUUUUUUUUUUUUUACUUAUGUUCAUAUAACGAAUUAUGCAUAUACGACGCAGUCACGAAAUCAUAUGCACAGAAAUCUUCACAUGAAAAUUUAAUGUAGAGAUGAAAAAGUUUAAAACUCAUGAUCUGCAACGGGCAGGCCAUCUGGGCAUUGAAAGAAUGUUGGCUUUACUGUAGAAAUCGUAUUACUGGCCGAAGAUGGGUAAUGUAAAAGCAUAUGUAAAAUAGAAAGGAGGAAAGAGGCUGGUUUACUCUAGGCUUUGUCAAUUCUGGACAUGCCCUCGAAGUCAAUUUCCAUGGAUUUCAUUUCAGGUUUCCCAAAGAUGGAUGGGUUCAAGUCCAUUAAGGUGGUAGCGGAGAGAUUCUCAAAAUAUUCAGUUUUCAUUCCAGCUCCGCAUGAGUGCUUGUUGGACGUUGCUACCGAAUUAUUUUUCAAAAAUGUUGUGAAAUACUUUUGAUUGCCAGAAGAUAUUGUGAGUAAUCAGGAUUCACGACUUACAAGCAAAUUCUGGACCUGUUUUGUUUAACAUGAUAUAGACUAAAAUAAAGUUCUCAAUAGUAAAUUAUCCUUUAUCUAAUGGUCAGAGGGGAAGAGUAAAUGCUUUGUUGGAGAAUAGCUCAGAUGCGAUGUUUAAACAAGUCAAAAAUUAGGUUGCCUUGCUUGAUACGGUUCAAUUUUGCUACAAUCUGCAUCAACCUUCCCUUACAGAUUUGUGUUCGGCUGAAUUGACCAUGCAACAUGUGCCUAAGACAUCAUUUGAGAUUGUGAAACAAAGAGGACGCAGUGUGUGUCUAGCUACUUUUCAAGUUGCUCAAGACAAAUACAAGAUGAUCGAGGAAGCUCAGGAUAGUCUUGCAAAGGCUGCCUAGCGCAUGAAAAAGUAUGCUGAUAAAAAUAUGAGGGAUGUUUAGAUUGGGGAUAAAGUGAUGUUAAAGCUAACUCCUCAAAUUUGGAAGAAGAUUAGCAGCAAGACAGUGCAUCUUGGGUUGGUUCAGAAGUAUGGUGGUCCCUUUAAAAUUAUCAAACGUGUGGAAAAUGUGGCAUAUCAAAAGUAGUUUCCUAAUCAUUUCAAGGUUCAUCCUACCUUCCAUAUAAGUUAUCUAAAGACUUUUAAUGAGAGUUUGAUGAGUAAUGGUCAACUACAGGCAAGAGGGCUUCUUCUAUGAUUAGAAAAUAAUAUAAUAAGGAGGUAGCAAAAGAUCUUAGGCCAUCAAAAUAUAGGGGCAAGUAAGAAAAAUAGAAGGACAGAUUACCUUGUCCAAUGGAAAGAUGAUAGUGGAAUUCAUCAACUUAUGAAAGGGAAGUAGACUUAUGGUAGUUUGAGGAUAAGGUAAAGGAGUAUCUUGAUUCUCUUCCGACGUAUAUGUUGAACUCUACUGGUGAGGAAGAUUUGUCAGAGGUUUGUGGUAAAGUAUGUUGAUGGUGCACAUUUCUAGCUAGUCUCAAGUUCAAGGCAAACGUGUGAUUUAGCUUGUGGGCGUGUUGCUUCAUUUUGGCGUUCAUCAAGGUGUUGCACGUUGAUGGAAUUUAGCAAGGCAUGAAGUGAUCCAGCUUGUUGUUCAAUUGAUUAUAGUCUACAAAAUGAGUGUCAAAGACAAGCACAUGUUUGGCACAUGUAUUGGGUAGUUUUUUUUUUUUUUUUUUUUUUAAAGUUUGGGUAGUCGUUGAAAAAAUGCAUGUGAAAAAAUCUGAUAUAUUUCCUUCUUACACAACGUGUCUUUCACAUUUCUCACUGUCUCAGACCUUUUUAUUUCUACUUACUCUUAUGGACCUUUAAGUAAUCCUUUAUCUUUUCCUCUUCUUAUUGCUUUAAUUGGAUCCAUGAAAACAUCUAAUUUCUUGUUUUUUUAAAACUUUGGGCAUUUGCAGGAAAGCAACAAGGAUAACUUCAUGUUCAGAUAUAUCUGCUUCAAACAUGUAUGCACGGACAAUGCUUGUACAACAAUUGAAAAAGGUUGCUUAUUUAUAAUUAUAUUAAGAAAGAGAAUUUUGAAAAAGCCGUUAAAGUUUUUUUCCCCCUUUUUUCUUAAAAAUUUUGCAUUAAUUUAAUUUCUGCAUUAUAAGGGUGAAUGAAUUCCUUUAUUUUAUUACAAAGAGGUUAUCACGCUCCUCCGUUAGGUAGUGAAAUUCUAAUGCCAAAGGCAGG